rnacentral:rRNA from 1 species
UACGUAGGGUGCAAGCGUUAAUCGGAAUUACUGGGCGUAAAGCGUGCGCAGGCGGUUUUGUAAGUCUGUCGUGAAAUCCCCGGGCUCAACCUGGGAAUGGCGAUGGAGACUGCAAGGCUAGAGUUUGGCAGAGGGGGGUAGAAUUCCACGUGUAGCAGUGGAAUGCGUAGAUAUGUGGAGGAACACCGAUGGCGAAGGCAGCCCCCUGGGUCAAAACUGACGCUCAUGCACGAAAGCGUGGGGAGCAAACAGG